CGCUGACAGAAUGCUUAACACAUGCAAGUCAACUUGAAUUUGGGUUUUUAACUUAGAUUUGGGUGGCGGACGGGUGAGUAACGCGUAAAGAACUUGCCUCACAGUUAGGGACAACAUUUGGAAACGAAUGCUAAUACCUGAUAUUAUGAUUUUAGGGCAUCCUAAGAUUAUGAAAGCUAUAUGCGCUGUGAGAGAGCUUUGCGUCCCAUUAGCUAGUUGGAGAGGUAACGGCUCACCAAGGCGAUGAUGGGUAGCCGGCCUGAGAGGGUGAACGGCCACAAGGGGACUGAGACACGGCCCUUACUCCUACGGGAGGCAGCAGUGGGGAAUAUUGGACAAUGGACCGAGAGUCUGAUCCAGCAAUUCUGUGUGCACGAUGAAGUUUUUCGGAAUGUAAAGUGCUUUCAGUUGGGAAGAAAAAAAUGACGGUACCAACAGAAGAAGUGACGGCUAAAUACGUGCCAGCAGCCGCGGUAAUACGUAUGUCACGAGCGUUAUCCGGAUUUAUUGGGCGUAAAGCGCGUCUAGGUGGUUAUAUAAGUCUGAUGUGAAAAUGCAGGGCUCAACUCUGUAUUGCGUUGGAAACUGUAUAACUAGAGUACUGGAGAGGUAAGCGGAACUACAAGUGUAGAGGUGAAAUUCGUAGAUAUUUGUAGGAAUGCCGAUGGGGAAGCCAGCUUACUGGACAGAUACUGACGCUGAAGCGCGAAAGCGUGGGUAGCAAACAGGAUUAGAUACCCUGGUAGUCCACGCUGUAAACGAUGAUUACUAGGUGUUGGGGGUCGAACCUCAGCGCCCAAGCAAACGCGAUAAGUAAUCCGCCUGGGGAGUACGUACGCAAGUAUGAAACUCAAAGGAAUUGACGGGGACCCGCACAAGCGGUGGAGCAUGU
rnacentral:rRNA from 1 species